AUUCCAGCUCCAAUAGCGUAUAUUAAAGUUGUUGCAGUUAAAAAGCUCGUAGUUGAAGAUACGAGUGCUUGCACUAGAACAAAGUUCCGGUGCUUGUACUCACUUUUCGCAAAGACGACAUGGCCUAUUAAUUUAAGUUGUGUUUGAGUUGCGUCGUUUACUGUGAACAAAUUAGGGUGUUUAAAGCAGGCCUACGUUUGAAUACACUAGCAUGGAAUAACAAGAUAUGAUCUUGGUCGUAUUUUGUUGGUGGCUGCCAAGAUAAUGAUUGAAAGAAACUGUUGUGGGUAUUCGUAUGAGCAUGUCAGAGGUGAAAUUCUUGGAUUUUGAUCAGACGAACUACUGCGAAAGCAUUUACCAAGGAUGUUUUCAUCG
rnacentral:rRNA from 1 species